rnacentral:rRNA from 1 species
GCCGCGGUAAUUCCAGCUCCAAUAGCGUAUAUUAACGUUGUUGCAGUUAAAAAGCUCGUAGUUGAAGUGUGGGUGAUCGCUGUUGUGAGACUUCGGUCUCUCGACAGUAAGUCACCCCCUUCCAGUAUCCAGUAGUGGGUAUUCAGUUACUUACUAUUGUGUGUUGGUCGUUUACUGUGAGAAAAUUAGAGUGUUCAAAGCAGGCGUUUGCUUGAAUAGAUUAGCAUGGAAUAAUAAUUGAAGGCUUUCGUGUUCGAUUUGAUUGGUUUGUUCAUGGAAGCAAGGUUAAAAGGAACAGUUGGGGGUAUUCAUAUUCACUAGUUAGAGGUGAAAUUCUCGGAUUUAUGGAAGAUGAACAAGUGCGAAAGCAUUUACCAAGGAUGUUUUCAUUAAUCAAGAGCGAAAG